rnacentral:rRNA from 1 species
GACGAACGCUGGCGGCGUGCUUAACACAUGCAAGUCGAACGGAAAGGCCCCUUUGGGGGUCCUCGAGUGGCGAACGGGUGAGUAACACGUGAGUAACCUGCCCUUGACUUCGGGAUAACUUCAGGAAACUGGGGCUAAUACCGGAUAGGAAUCCUUGCUGCAUGGUGGGGGUUGGAAAGCUUCGGCGGUUUUGGAUGGACUCGCGGCUUAUCAGCUUGUUGGUGGGGUAGUGGCUUACCAAGGCUUUGACGGGUAGCCGGCCUGAGAGGGCGACCGGCCACAUUGGGACUGCGAUACGGCCCAGACUCCUACGGGAGGCAGCAGUGGGGAAUAUUGCACAAUGGGCGGAAGCCUGAUGCAGCAACGCCGCGUGCGGGAUGACGGCCUUCGGGUUGUAAACCGCUUUCAGCAGGGGCGAAGCUUUUGUGACGGUACCUGCAGAAGAAGCACCGGCUAACUACGUG